rnacentral:rRNA from 1 species
AGUGAACGCUGGCGGUAGGCCUAACACAUGCAAGUCGAACGGCAGCACAGUAAGAGCUUGCUCUUACGGGUGGCGAGUGGCGGACGGGUGAGGAAUACAUCGGAAUCUACUUUUUCGUGGGGGAUAACGUAGGGAAACUUACGCUAAUACCGCAUACGACCUACGGGUGAAAGCAGGGGAUCUUCGGACCUUGCGCGAUUGAAUGAGCCGAUGUCGGAUUAGCUAGUUGGCGGGGUAAAGGCCCACCAAGGCGACGAUCCGUAGCUGGUCUGAGAAGAUGAUCAGCCACACUGGGACUGAGACACGGUACAGACACCUACGGGAGGCAGCAGUGGGGAAUAUUGGACAAUGGGCGCAAGACUGAUCCAGCCAUGCCGCGUGGGUGAAGAAGGACUUCGGGUUGUAAGACCCUUUUGUUGGGAAAGAAAAGCAGCAGGUUAAUACCCCGCUGUUCUGACGGUACCCAAAGAAUAAGCACCGGCUAACUUCGUG